rnacentral:rRNA from 1 species
UACGUAGGUGACAAGCGUUGUCCGGAUUUACUGGGCGUAAAGAGCGCGCAGGCGGUCGUUCAAGUCGAGUGUGAAAGCCCCCGGCUCAACUGGGGAGGGUCAUUCGAUACUGAUCGACUCGAAGGCAGGAGAGGGAAGUGGAAUUCCCGGUGUAGUGGUGAAAUGCGUAGAUAUCGGGAGGAACACCAGUGGCGAAGGCGGGUCUCUGGGCCGACAUUGACGCUGAGGAGCGAAAGCGUGGGGAGCGAACAGG